rnacentral:rRNA from 1 species
AUGAACGCUGGCGGCGUGCCUAAUACAUGCAAGUCGAGCGAACAGACGAGGAGCUUGCUCCUCUGACGUUAGCGGCGGACGGGGGAGUAACACGUGGAUAACCUACCUAUAAGACUGGGAUAACUUCGGGAAACCGGAGCUAAUACCGGAUAAUAUAUUGAACCGCAUGGUUCAAUAGUGAAAGACGGUUUUGCUGUCACUUAUAGAUGGAUCCGCGCCGCAUUAGCUAGUUGGUAAGGUAACGGCUUACCAAGGCAACGAUGCGUAGCCGACCUGAGAGGGUGAUCGGCCACACUGGAACUGCGACACGGUCCAGACUCCUACGGGAGGCAGCAGUAGGGAACCUUCCGCAAUGGGCGAAAGCUUGACGGAGCAACGCCGCGUGAGUGAUGAAGUUCUUCGGAUCGUAAAACUCUGUUAUUAGGGAAGAACAAAUGUGUAAGUAACUAUGCACGUCUUGACGGUACCUAAUCAGAAAGCCACGGCUAACUACGUG